rnacentral:rRNA from 1 species
CACGUAGGAGGCGAGCGUUGUCCGGAAUCAUUGGGCGUAAAGAGCGCGCAGGCGGCUUGGCAAGUCGGGUGUGAAAUCCCGAGGCUCAACCUCGGGCCUGCAGUGGGUACGGGCAGACUGGAGUGCGGUAGGGGAGAAUGGAAUUCCUGGUGUAGCGGUGGAAUGCGCAGAUAUCAGGAGGAACACCGAUGGCGAAGGCAGUUCUCUGGGCCGUAACUGACGCUGAGGAGCGAAAGCGUGGGGAGCGAACAGG